rnacentral:lncRNA from 1 species
GCCAGAAUUCCACCCUUGUCUCAUUCCGAGAUUGUGUGCUGAGGGUUUUCAACUGCAUCUCUAAAGGGAAGGCCAAAGAAAGAGCAACAGGAAAGGAUGGUAAAAAGGGGGUAGAAAGGAAGAAGGAAGGGAAGAAAAAAGGGAAAACAGCAAGCUCUCUUUCCAGAGCCACACAUUUUUUUCUGUUUGCUCAGUGGCAGUCUGUUAAAGAAAUACUUCAUUGUCACUGAACACAGAGUCAUUAAAGGCACCUUGGAAAUUUGGACCCUUUUACUAGAAUCAGGGCUUAAAUAGCAACUUAAUUUAUGACACUUCUCGAGGCUGAUGGCGUUUUUGCUCUAAGCAGACCUGCCUUGCAAGAAAUGUUAAAAGAAGUGCUUUAGAGAGCAGGGAAAUUCUAUAGGUCAGACACUUGGAUCUACAUAAAAAAAGGAAGAAACCAAAGGAGAAAUAAGUGAAGGGGCUUGAAGAAGAUAUCUAGAAAUGUCAAAGCAGAAGAGCCUCGGAGAUAAUCUGAACUAUUUCUGAGUUUAUAUAAGGGAAAACUGAGACUGGAGAGAACUAACAUGUCUAAUAUUACAAUGGAAACUUGUAAUAAAACCACAAAUUG